AUUAAGAACUUUUGAAAAAUUUCAAUAUCAAAAUUAAAUGUUAAUUGCAUCCAAGGAUGCUCUGCCUAUAGGUUUGCUAUUAGUCGUCGUUUGGUAUUAAUACAUAAGUUUGCUUUUUUGGUAUUCGCUAAAUGAAAGAAAGAAAUUGGAGGUCGGCAGUAUAUAAAGAAAAUAACCCAAGACAUAAUAUCAGAUUGUAAAAUUAUGGAAUCCAAAGAUUCAGUGACUAAAAAUAUGGCGAUUUGCUCCAGAAAGCGAAAACAGCCAAAUAUGGACUAAACACUGCCAAUCGGAAGUCUCUGUGUGGCUAUACUUCUGAUUGUGCUGGUGACGAGGGUUGAGGGAAGUACCCCAGUCCAAGCCCACCAGACGAUCCCCCUCCCCCAUAUUGGCGCAAAGGCUAUUCGGGUGAUGGCACCACAUACGAGGAGAUGGGGGCGCUUCAUUUUGCCGAAGUUGAAUACUCAGAGUACGAGCCUUAGACCAACUACUCCCAGAGGGAGAAUUUCACUGAAAUGUGGGUGGAUGUUGUUUUUAAACUUUCGCGAACCUUUUUUGACAAAAUGUUUCCACUUGACCCGAUCGUACCAAGAGGUUUUAUGUUACCGCUCUACCCUUGGGUAGAAAUAGGGAUGGAAUACAGGUGGACAUGUUGUCCGCAUUGAUCAGGACGGUGCAGAAACUUCGAUUUUGUGUACGGCAAUCACAAGCCAAGAAAUAUUGAAAAUCAUCGAUGUCUACAUCGAUGAAAAUAUAAACAAGAAAUCCGAGAUAUUUUUCUCACCUUUCUUAUAUUCUACCCAAUAGAAAGGUGUCAUCUAAAUAAAAUAAUUUGUUGAGACGUGAUU